CUGACUUUAAUUGGAUGCCUUAAUUAACUAAUGAAUCCUUUGUUUUUAUUAAGUCCAGUGGCCUUGUGUGUGUGUGUGUGUGUGUAUAGCAUUGAUUGGAGGUGCACAAAAAUAGCCCUGUAGCCUGUGACUGGACACCGUGGAGGAGGUACAAAGAGACGCAAGAGCGUGGGGAGGGUCAUGGACAGCUUCUGUGAUGGACUCCACCAUGGAGGCACUAGGCCUGAAGGGGAGAUGUUACCUGGUGAGGGGGUAUGGGGAGGAGGUAGGGUGAGAGUGCAAAGACCAAGAGAGGGGAAAGCACUUCAAGUCUGAUGAAGGCCAGAGAGGCUGCAUCUCAGAAUGGAGGAGGGGGGGCAAGAGGGAGGCCAGAGAGGCAGCUGGGCCAGACCACACAAGCCUGCCUCCUAGGCUAGAGAAGGAGCUUACCUAUUAUCCAAUUAGCAAUAGGAACAUGGGUUUCAAGUUGCAUUUUAAAGAUCACCCCAGUUGCAUAAGUGAAGGAUUGGAGUCAGGAGAGGAGACAGGCUGUUCAGGGGCCAGAGGAGCCACCUGGAAUGACAAUUGUGACUUUUACUAUGUGCCAGGCAUUGUCCUAAGGGCUCCACUUUGAUGACAUUUAAUCCUCACAGCCAUCUUAUAUGGAAGGCACUUGUGUUAUUCCCAUUUAUUGAUGUGAAAACUGAGGCUAACUCCUCCAGGUCACACAGAAAAGUCAGGAGUCAAAUCCAGGUUCAACUCAACCAUAGCUUGUCUUUUAACCACUAUGCAAUAAAUACUGAGGACGUUCAGAAAGCACCUAAGGUUGGGGGCUGGUUUCCAGGGGAACCAACCGUGUGACUGGAGGGUUGCAAUUUUCAGUCCCGCCCUGACCUCUGGGGUGGGGAGAGGGUUGGAGGUUGGAUCAAUCGCCAAUGGCCAAUGAUUUAAUCAAUCAUGCUGGUGCAAUAAAAACCCCAAAGGACUAGGUUUGCAGAGCUUCCCGGUUGGUGAACCAGAACCCAUCCAUAUGCUCCCAUGUCAGGGCCCCAAAUCCUUGGGAAUAGAAGCUCCUUUGUUUGGGAUCUUGCCCUAUGUAUCUUUUUAUCUGGCUGUUGAUUCAAAUCUCUUAAUCUCUUUUGUAAUAAACCAGUAAUCUAGUGAGUAAACUGGUUUCCUGCAUUUUGUGAGCAGAUCGAGCACAUUAGUUGAACCCAGCGAGGGUGUCAUGGGGACUCUUGACAGCCACUCAAUCAGAAGACCAGGUAACAACUUGGACUUGGAAUUGGCAUCUGAAAUGCGGGGCGGUCUUGUGGGACUGAGCCUUUAAUCUGUGGGGUCUGAUGCUAUCUCCAGGUGGAUAGUGUCAGAAUUGAGUUGAAUUGUAGGACACUCGGUUGGUGUCAGAGAAUUACUUGGUGAUGGGGGGAAAAACCCACACAUUGGAAUUGGGUGCAGAAUCAGAACAUGGUAAUCCUAUUCUUAAUUUUUUAAGGAAACCUCAUAUUGUUUUCCACAGCAGCUGCACCAUUUCACAUUCCCACUAACAUGGUACAAGGGUUCCAGUUUCUCCACAUCCUGGCCAAGACUUGUUAUUCCUGGUGUUUUGACAGUAGCCAUUCUAAUGGGUGUGAGGUGAUAUCUCAUUGUGUUUUGAUUUAAUCUUCCUAAUGAUUAGUGAGGUUUAGCACCUUUUCAUGUGUUAUUGGUCAUUUGGAGAAAUACAUAUUCAAGUCCUUUGCCCAUUUUUGAUUUGGCCAUUUUGAUUUUUUGUUAUUGAGUUGUAAGAGCUCUUUAUAUAUUCUGGAUAUUAACCCCUUACCAGAUUUAUGAUAUGCACAAAUACUCUUUCCCUAAUUCCAUGGGCUUGCUUAUCACUCAGUUGUGUCCUUUGAUACACAGGAAUCUUAAAUUUGGAUGUAGUCCAAUUUAUCUAUUUUUUCUUUUGUUGCCAGGCUUUUUGUGUCAUCUGAGCAUGGGAUUCUGAUAAAGAGAACAAGACUUAUUUGAGCACCUUCCCUUCACACAAGUCAGCGAUCAGCCCUUCUGACGAGAGGGAACUCAACUCUGCUCAUCACUGUUUGAUCCAGUUGGAAAGGGAAGCAUACUUGGCUGGGAAUCAUCAUCAUCUCCACCGACACCGAUCAAGGGUCUGUGCUCCCGAGGGGCCAGCUGGCAUCCGUCCCCAACAGGCACCCCCGAGGAGACAGUCCUCAUUGAGGUCCCAGGGAUGAGGCUGAGGAUGGACUCCACCAGGCCUGCCUGCCAGAGGCCCGUGCUCCUAGUCACUCUGCCAUUCUGCCUCCCAGGAGUGCAUGUCGUGUGUCACACCAAGGCGGUGCACAGGCCCCUCACCGGGGUCUGGCUAAGCCCCCCGGCCUGGAUGUGAGACCCCAGCUGCACAGAUCUGUGGUGGUUUAGGAUUGCCCAGUUACCGAUUCAGCAUUACCUGCUUUGGUUUGUUUCAGAACCACCUGCCCCUCCGGGAAUAUUUAACCCCAUCAGACUUUUUGGAGGGAUGGCUUCCUGUGUGCCAUGAAAUACACAAGAACAGGACUUCUGCCAGGGGCUUAAAGGGCCGGGCUUGUGUGUCAUCCGGUGCUGGAGAGAGGGUGUGGAAGGGAGAGGUGUCGGAAACCCUGGGUCAAAGUUUGUCAGAAAUAAUCAGGGAAACGGAGAACCUAGCAAGCCGCUAGAUGGGCCUGGGGGACACGACGGCCCUGGGACGAAAAGGCUAACGGCACUGACUUUGCUUUAAUGUAAACUCAGUUUAGAACAAUUCAGAAUCUAGUAAUUCUCUUCUGUAAUAUAAUGUUGUAAGAAAUACGUAUUUGGUCAUUCAUAGGGCCAAAUAUGUAUUUCCCAGGUAUAUGUGGUUCUUCAUCCAGUUUCUGAGAACAGCGGUCUUAAAGGUGAAAUAGGUGUUUUGUCAUGUAAAUGACUUUGGACUCCACCUAAGGGCGGGGGCUGGAGGCUGAAUCAGCCAAUGGCCAAUGAUUUACUCAAUCCCGACUAUGCAAUGAAGCCCACGGGAAAGCCCUGGAGAAGAGCUUCCGGCUCCCUCUCUGCUCCCCUGGAUCCUGCUGCUUCUUCGGAGGGAGCUUCUAAGCUUGGGGAGCCAGAACGCCUCCAGGGGCCACCGAGCCAGGCCCCAAGCUCCGCAAGGACAGCUCUUUUAUUUGGGGCCUUGCCCCAUGGCUCUCUUCAUCUGGCUGUUAACUUGAAUCCUUUAUGGUAUCCUUAAACUGGAAAACAAGUGUUUUCCUAAAUUCUGUGAGCUGCUCUAGCAAAGUAAUUGAACCUAAGGGGGAGGUCGUGGGAAUCUCCAAUCUGUAGCCAGUAGGUUAGAAGCACAGGUAACUGCCUGGGGCUUGAGACUGGUGUCCAGAGUAGGGGGUGAAGGGCAGUCCUGUAGGACAGAGCCCUUAACCUGUGGACCCUGGUGCUGUCUCCGGGAAGGUGUAUCAGAACUGAGUUCUCCAACACCCUGCUGGUGUGGUGUUACUAUGUGUGGGAAGACCCCUUCCCACACACACACAUUGGAAUCAGGUCCAGGAACCUGAAUGAAGUUACACUACUAUUACUGCUGUGUAUAAUAUUGUUAUUGUUAUACAUAUUUAUGUAGGUAAAAAGGACACCAUAACAUUUGGUGUUGGAUGAGUGGGAAUCACCAUUUUAGACCUCACUCCGAGGCAUUCGGGCCUAUGAGUGCAGCAACUACUGAUAUAAGGCAAUGGGUGUCUGAUACUCCCCAGCCGAAGUGGGCUCUGUGAGUCACUGCAUCUCUCUGAGGCUCGGCCUCUGAGCCUGGGCUUCCUCAUCGUAAAAUAGGGAGGGGGCCACCCAGCAGACAAAGUCUGACAAGGAGCAGGAGCAGUCACUGUUACUACUUCCCUGUAAGGCACACCUCACAGACGCUGGCCCGGCAGUGGAGUAAUGUCCCCCCACUGGCCAUGAGUGGUUAGAUCUUGAUGCUAAGAGGGAGACUUGAAUGAGAGUGACUGGUGACCAAAGGGCAGAAACAGGAGUUUCUACAAAGAACUCCCUCCCCUGUGCCCCAUAUUGUAGUAGGUUCCCAGUGUGACUCCAGUCCUAACCCACGGGCCUCCUCCCCAAACUGGGCCAAACUCCCGUCUCCCCAGAUUACAAACAGGCUUCCAGUCCAGCAGGAUGCGCACCAGCUUCUGAUCUGGAAAGUUCAUUAGGAGGCUGGAUGGUGUGGCGGCAGGAACAGAGGAGAGCAGUGACACUGAUAAAGUGACCUCACCUCAUGCCCUCAACACACUGUCCCCACACGCUCCAGUAGGAAGCAUCUGCCAGCCCAGAGCCCUGCGGUGUCCGGGAUAGAGGGACAUACGGGAUGGAAGAACCACCUCAGCUGCAGGCAGUGCCCUGGUGCUGCUCGGCUCCCAAGACAAGCUUCAUGCACGGUCCUGGGAUGUGACCGCGUUAGAGCCUAACACACAGCACGCUGACCUGGGUCCAGAAGACCCCAAACCACGGCCGUGGUGGCUGGUCUCCCCUGCAAUGGGCCACUGCAGCAGCUUUCCCCUUCCACUCCCCAAAAUAAACCACACUGGGAGUUCCCUGGA